UUGCUUCAGUAGCACAUAUAUUAAAACUGGACUGAUACAGAGAAGGUUAGCAUGCCCCCUGCACAAAGACGACAUGCAAAUUCAUGAAGCAUUUUACACACAC
rnacentral:snRNA from 1 species